GAGUUUGAUCCUGGCUCAGAUUGAACGCUGGCGGCAUGCCUUACACAUGCAAGUCGAACGGCAGCACGGGAGCUUGCUCCUGGUGGCGAGUGGCGAACGGGUGAGUAAUGCAUCGGAACGUAUCCUGGAGUGGGGGAUAACGUAGCGAAAGUUACGCUAAUACCGCAUAUUCUGUGAGCAGGAAAGCGGGGGGACCUUCGGGCCUCGCGCUCUUGGAGCGGCCGAUGUCGGAUUAGCUAGUUGGUGAGGUAAAGGCUCACCAAGGCGACGAUCCGUAGCAGGUCUGAGAGGAUGAUCUGCCACACUGGAACUGAGACACGGUCCAGACUCCUACGGGAGGCAGCAGUGGGAAUUUUGGACAAUGGGGGCAACCCUGAUCCAGCCAUGCCGCGUGAGUGAAGAAGGCCUCGG
rnacentral:rRNA from 1 species